UCUGCUUUUGUGGGUGUAUUGUGUUUUCUUGGACAGGUACCUGUUCCACCGGCGAGGACCUCCGACAACUAUCGUUCAAACUCUCGUUCAGACUCGCGGCAGGACGCAAUAGAGACGCACAUUUUGCUAAGAUUCAGGAAAACUCGGGCGCAGCAAAGCACACUUCCAGGUUUUUCCUCCGGGAGUUGGUACCUCCCGCUCUCUUGCUUAUUUUGUGUACCUUUGUACGUAUU
rnacentral:lncRNA from 1 species